UUAAGCGACUAAGCGUACACGGUGGAUGCCCUGGCAGUCAGAGGCGAUGAAGGACGUGCUAAUCUGCGAAAAGCGUCGGUAAGGUGAUAUGAACCGUUAUAACCGGCGAUGUCCGAAUGGGGAAACCCAGUGCAAUUCGUUGCACUAUCGUUAACUGAAUACAUAGGUUAACGAGGCGAACCGGGGGAACUGAAACAUCUAAGUACCCCGAGGAAAAGAAAUCAACCGAGAUUCCCCCAGUAGCGGCGAGCGAACGGGGAGCAGCCCAGAGUCUGAAUCAGCUUGUGUGUUAGUGGAACGGUCUGGAAAGUCCGACGGUACAGGGUGAUAGUCCCGUACACCAAAAUGCACAGGUUGUGAACUCGAAGAGUAGGGCGGGACACGUGGUAUCCUGUCUGAAUAUGGGGGGACCAUCCUCCAAGGCUAAAUACUCCUGACUGACCGAUAGUGAACCAGUACCGUGAGGGAAAGGCGAAAAGAACCCCGGCGAGGGGAGUGAAAAAGAACCUGAAACCGUGUACGUACAAGCAGUGGGAGCACCUUCGGGUGUGACUGCGUACCUUUUGUAUAAUGGGUCAGCGACUUAUAUUCUGUAGCAAGGUUAACCGUAUAGGGGAGCCGCAGGGAAACCGAGUCUUAACUGGGCGUUAAGUUGCAGGGUAUAGACCCGAAACCCGGUGAUCUAGCCAUGGGCAGGUUGAAGGUUGGGUAACACUAACUGGAGGACCGAACCGACUAAUGUUGAAAAAUUAGCGGAUGACUUGUGGCUGGGGGUGAAAGGCCAAUCAAACCGGGAGAUAGCUGGUUCUCCCCGAAAGCUAUUUAGGUAGCGCCUCGUGAACUCAUCUUCGGGGGUAGAGCACUGUUUCGGCUAGGGGGUCAUCCCGACUUACCAACCCGAUGCAAACUACGAAUACCGAAGAAUGUUAUCACGGGAGACACACGGCGGGUGCUAACGUCCGUCGUGAAGAGGGAAACAACCCAGACCGCCAGCUAAGGUCCCAAAGUCAUGGUUAAGUGGGAAACGAUGUGGGAAGGCACAGACAGCCAGGAUGUUGGCUUAGAAGCAGCCAUCAUUUAAAGAAAGCGUAAUAGCUCACUGGUCGAGUCGGCCUGCGCGGAAGAUGUAACGGGGCUAAACCAUGCACCGAAGCUGCGGCAGCGACACUAUGUGUUGUUGGGUAGGGGAGCGUUCUGUAAGCCUGCGAAGGUGACCUGUGAGGGUUGCUGGAGGUAUCAGAAGUGCGAAUGCUGACAUAAGUAACGAUAAAGCGGGUGAAAAGCCCGCUCGCCGGAAGACCAAGGGUUCCUGUCCAACGUUAAUCGGGGCAGGGUGAGUCGACCCCUAAGGCGAGGCCGAAAGGCGUAGUCGAUGGGAAACAGGUUAAUAUUCCUGUACUUGGUGUUACUGCGAAGGGGGGACGGAGAAGGCUAUGUUAGCCGGGCGACGGUUGUCCCGGUUUAAGCAUGUAGGCUGGUUGUCCAGGCAAAUCCGGAUAAUCAAGGCUGAGGUGUGAUGACGAGGCACUACGGUGCUGAAGUAACAAAUGCCCUGCUUCCAGGAAAAGCCUCUAAGCAUCAGGUAACAUCAAAUCGUACCCCAAACCGACACAGGUGGUCAGGUAGAGAAUACCAAGGCGCUUGAGAGAACUCGGGUGAAGGAACUAGGCAAAAUGGUGCCGUAACUUCGGGAGAAGGCACGCUGGUGUGUAGGUGAAGCCCCUGCGGGUGGAGCUGAGACCAGUCGAAGAUACCAGCUGGCUGCAACUGUUUAUUAAAAACACAGCACUGUGCAAACACGAAAGUGGACGUAUACGGUGUGACGCCUGCCCGGUGCCGGAAGGUUAAUUGAUGGGGUUAUCCGUAAGGAGAAGCUCUUGAUCGAAGCCCCGGUAAACGGCGGCCGUAACUAUAACGGUCCUAAGGUAGCGAAAUUCCUUGUCGGGUAAGUUCCGACCUGCACGAAUGGCGUAAUGAUGGCCAGGCUGUCUCCACCCGAGACUCAGUGAAAUUGAACUCGCUGUGAAGAUGCAGUGUACCCGCGGCAAGACGGAAAGACCCCGUGAACCUUUACUAUAGCUUGACACUGAACAUUGAGCCUUGAUGUGUAGGAUAGGUGGGAGGCUUUGAAGCGUGGACGCCAGUCUGCGUGGAGCCAACCUUGAAAUACCACCCUUUAAUGUUUGAUGUUCUAACGUUGGCCCCUGACCGGGGUUGCGGACAGUGUCUGGUGGGUAGUUUGACUGGGGCGGUCUCCUCCCAAAGCGUAACGGAGGAGCACGAAGGUUAGCUAAUCCUGGUCGGACAUCAGGAGGUUAGUGCAAUGGCAUAAGCUAGCUUGACUGCGAGCGUGACGGCGCGAGCAGGUGCGAAAGCAGGUCAUAGUGAUCCGGUGGUUCUGAAUGGAAGGGCCAUCGCUCAACGGAUAAAAGGUACUCCGGGGAUAACAGGCUGAUACCGCCCAAGAGUUCAUAUCGACGGCGGUGUUUGGCACCUCGAUGUCGGCUCAUCACAUCCUGGGGCUGAAGUAGGUCCCAAGGGUAUGGCUGUUCGCCAUUUAAAGUGGUACGCGAGCUGGGUUUAGAACGUCGUGAGACAGUUCGGUCCCUAUCUGCCGUGGGCGCUGGAGAAUUGAGGGGGGCUGCUCCUAGUACGAGAGGACCGGAGUGGACGCAUCACUGGUGUUCGGGUUGUCAUGCCAAUGGCACUGCCCGGUAGCUAAAUGCGGAAGAGAUAAGUGCUGAAAGCAUCUAAGCACGAAACUUGCCCCGAGAUGAGUUCUCCCUGAGACUAUAAGUCUCCUGAAGGAACGUUAAAGACGAUGACGUUGAUAGGCCGGGUGUGUAAGCGCAGCGAUGCGUUGAGCUAACCGGUACUAAUGAACCGUGAGGCUUAACCUU
rnacentral:rRNA from 3 species